rnacentral:rRNA from 1 species
GACGAACGCUGGCGGCGUGCUUAACACAUGCAAGUCGAGCGGUAAGGCCCUUUCGGGGGUACACGAGCGGCGAACGGGUGAGUAACACGUGGGUGACCUGCCCUCAGCUCUGGGAUAAGCCUGGGAAACCGGGUCUAAUACCGGAUAUGACUCCAUGACGCAUGUUGUGGGGUGGAAAGCCUUGUGCGGCUGAGGAUGGGCCCGCGGCCUAUCAGCUUGUUGGUGGGGUGAUGGCCUACCAAGGCGACGACGGGUAGCCGGCCUGAGAGGGCGACCGGCCACACUGGGACUGAGACACGGCCCAGACUCCUACGGGAGGCAGCAGUGGGGAAUCUUGGACAAUGGGCGCAAGCCUGAUCCAGUCAUGCCGCGUGGGUGAAGAGGCCUGG